GUUCAAGAGUACGUGAAACUGCUCAGAGGCAAACGGGUGGGCCCUCGAAAUCCCAUUGCGGAGAGAUUCAGUCGGCGCACCGGUUGGCGAUGGCGCAUCGCCGGAC
rnacentral:rRNA from 1 species